rnacentral:lncRNA from 1 species
UCUCAAUGACCUUCUCCUGGGCCACUUUUUUUUUAGGUAAGUUCAACCUCGACAUUCUUCAGCACCUCCUUGAGGCACUUUGCUUCAACCUCGGCAUUUUUCAUUGCUAAGUGGGCCUUCACUGCGGCUGUGGUAGCCUUCUCAUACAUCUGCUAGAGUGCAUCGACCUAGGUGAGAGCAUUGAUAGCCCCCGACUCAGCCAACCUUAUUGAGUUCAUAAAAAUUGCAAUAGAAUGGCCAAGCUGUGGAAAUAGGUAAAAGCAAGUUACUCACAAUAAGCACAUGAGAAGACCAGAUCAAGGAAAGACUUACUCAGAUGAAGG